AGCACCUGUGUACACGAUGGUGAUGUGUUAAUAUGGCAUGCUCACAGCAAAUGUCUUUUUUACGAUGACGGAGCUGACAGAAUUUGUCAAAAUAUAAGAUAUCACAUUGGUUUGAGCAUGAUUCCCAGCAAGAUUAUGAAGGGGCAUAUAUAUCAUAUAUACAUAGGAAAUAUAUAGUGUCACUAAAUUACUCUCAUACGGUACCUCACCUCUGUAGCUGUAAAUUGCAAAACGGUGGAUUCAUUCAUAAUUUUGAGUUACUUAUUGCAAUUGGAAAUAACGUUGAUAAAGCUAACAGCAUUAUGCCAUGAUGUUGAUGGGAUGUUCUGAUUGGACAAAAAGGAAAUUGUGAAUUGAACAAAUAGCAAACUUGAAAUUCAUAGGAAAAAAAGUAGGAAAUUGGAAUAAUGAAAAUUCAUAGUUUCAGUGAUUAUCUUACAAUCAUCAUGAUCAUUGUCAAUACUACAAGUGCAUCAUCAUGAUCAUAUAUAUCUGAAUUCACCUUGGAUAAUUAUACAUUUAAAAUAAGAAUUUGGAUAUAAUAAGAAUUUCUGUGCUGGCGUUGCUACUGUUGGCUUCAUGUACCACCAGCUGGGAGUGUUAAACCUUUUUGACCUUUCGUGAGGGUCUGUCACGGUCCGUCACAAUUGGUUAGUGUCAUAUAUGCAUGAUUAUGGAAGUUUCACCAACCUAGACAAGCUUUACAGCCCUGGCACGGUUGUUGGUUGCACUUAGAGUCAAAUGACAGCUUGCUGUAUACAUUUGUAGUUCAAAUAGUCUGAAUGAAUCUACAUGUAUGGUGACAAUCUUCUAAAUUACUGUUCAUUCUGAAACUGGCAUUUUAUACUAGUACAUGUAGUAGUCGAACAUAUUAAACAAUACAUGUACUUCAAA